AGGGGGAGCAGGACAGAGCACUGAGGGCUGUGGUUUUAGUUUAUCCAGGUAUGGUGGCCCCACCAGGACAUAAUAGUUUGGUCCUUGCCAUCUCCUCCUUUCUACCUCUGCCAGAGAUGCUGAUGCCCUUGUGGCACCUAGCGUGACCAUUUCAAGGGUUUCUGGACUCUAGGGUGGGAGGGCCUAGUGCAAACCAGGCCGGCAAGUCCUCUCUGGAGCCUGCUUCUCCCACGGUGACACUGCCCAAACCGUUCACUUUGCCCAGGGGAGUGUCCCCGAGGACACUGAGCUGCCCUUAUUUCCUCCUUUUUUGACACCUAGGACCUGGCUCUGGGAUCAUGGGGCGAGCGCCAGGGGUUGGGGUGGGGGUGUUUCUGUGAGGUGUGGAACGCCCCCACCCAAGUGCACAUCCUCUAGUCUCAGAUGCUAGACAGCUCCUCCCAAACCCUGCAGGGGACGCCUAAUGAGCGAGGGUCAUUCCUUCACAGCCAGGAGGGAAGCACAUACCUGAAUUUCUCAUUCCCUCGCUCCUCACCUCACACACAUUCAUGCAGAUUCAUAGAGCAGCCCACAUCUGGACACACCACACAAAUGCACUCAUCCAUACACACCCAGACCAGGUAUAUGUGCCCUGUAAAAGCCCACACUCUCACAUUUCAGCUAUCACUUUGCUAUAUCCACACACGUGUGCACGCACGCACACGCGCACACACACGCCAUCAAUAUGCAUGUAUCACAGAGGCACACCCCAGGCCAUGCAUGCAGCUACUUCCCAAGCAGACCCUGCUCUUUCCGGAGGCCCGUGAAAGGAAAAGGACCCCCUACCACCCAUGGCCAAGGGUGCGAGGCUGGAGCAUUUAAAGAGAUACUGCAGGGAUCAAAAGAGAAACUUUUCCUGCGUUUGGUUUAGGGACCUAGAACUUGAUCGGCAGCCUACACCCACCUUCUACCCCAACAUGCCUUGGCCCUAGAGAGAUGAGGGGGGACUGCAGCCCCAGACUCAAAAUGCAGACAGCGCAGGUGCCAGCACAUCAGAGGCCUGGCAGCACCUCUGGAACAGGGGAGGGCCUAGGAAUCCAGGAGCUGGCCGGACAGGAGGGUGCGCCCCCAGAGGCCAGAUCAGACAGGAGGGUGCUCCCCCAGAAUGCAGCAGCUUGGUGCACAGGGUCCCGGGCUGCCUGUGAACUCCCAGAAAGGGACCUCCACCCAAGAAAUCAGUGCCUGGCCCUGGCUGGUUUGGUUCAGUGGAUAGAGUGUGGGCCUGCAGACUGAAGGGUCCCGGAUUUGAUUCUGGCCAGCAGCACAUGCCUGGGUUGCGGGCUCGAUCCCCAGUGGGGGGCGUGCAAGAGGCAGCCGAUCUAUGAUUCUCUCAUCGUUGAUGUUUCUCUCUCUCUCUCCCUCUCCCUCUCUCUCUGGAAUCAAUAAAAUAUAUUUUAAAAAAAAGAAAUCAGUGCCUGGCACAGAGGUCCAGGAGGGGAGGGACAUUAGGAAAUGACCAGGAAUCCAAUCGUACCACAAGGGCACACAUUUGGGGGUUGCCACCAAAAGCCCACAGCCUGGUGUGCCCAGGACAGCAAGAUCAAAGAUGCCCCCACUCUUGACCCCUCGACCCAUCAGAAUCAAAUCUCAGCACAACCCCCAAUCAGGAAUCCAGGCAGGCAGAGCUGUGGAAUGUGGUGGAAAGUUUACCCCUUUCCCAAGCUUCAGGUCAGCGCCUCCCCCGCCCCCAAAUUAAUAAAUCAGAUCCAGAUGCAAACCCAACUGGCCUGAUGCCCUAGGAAAUGCCCCAGUUUCACACACCAGCUGAUCCCAGGAAUAGCUCUGGCCCAGCAGGGCUGUCCGGCUCCCUCCCUCUGUUUGGAAGCCAGUAUUUCCCCACCAGGAGUCUGAGCACAGAGCACAGACUUGAGGGGCAGGGAGGCCCCUCGGGAAGAGGCUGCAGGGAGAGGAUGGUGAAUUGGCUGAGUCUUAGAGUCCUUCUACCAUGUAGGAUAGUCCUCCCAUCCCUGGUACACCCCUGUCUCUAAUUUAAAUAAACAAGCAAAACACAAUUGUAUUGUUUUUUGUUUUGUUUUGUUAAAAAAAAAAAAAGAGAAAGACAUCAUGGCCAACUGGUAGGUUCCUAAGUCUCCUUCCAUCCAGCAAGCCAGAAAAUGCCCAGGGGGCAGGGUAUGGGGUGGGAGCUGUAGGGAAGGAGGUGUGGAGCAGGAGGCAGAGGCCAAGCUGUGAGCCAGAUGGAGUCAUCCUGGUGAUUUCACGGCUCUGACUACAAAUGGAAGGAAACAGGGCCCCAGGCAAGUCCCUCACUCCCCGCAAUCCCAUUCUGCUGGUCCUUUUCUCCACCAGGCACACACAUUCCAAUUACACAUUCUUUCCUCCCACCCUGACUGCGCAGACAGGGGCCCCACCACCCCACCCUUCUGUCUUGCAGGCCUUCCUAGGACCCUCUUACCUACUCCACAGCAGGGAUCCGCUGCCAGGCAAUCAAGCAGAUGGCAUUACCCCCAACCCCAAAAUAGGCUUGUCUUGGAGGGCCUAGGGACGAAGAGAAGAGGAGCCUGGCAGCCCUUAGCUUUGGGCCUGGUCUCCUGACCAUUGAGCCAUCUGCUACCCCACACCUUCCCUGUGGCCUCUGCUCUACCACUAGAUUGAGGGAGGGACAAUGGUCAAGGUACAUGUCUACUUUCCUCCUCAGAUUAUGGGCAUGAACUUCUCUUCUCCCACAGACUUGUGUUCACCUUGUAGGAGGUGGGCCCAAUGUCCAAAUCA